AAUAAAAAUUAGAGAUGCACCGAUUGCAAAAUUCUUGGCCGAUACCGAUUUCCGGUUUUUGAGGGGGUCUGACCUGCCAAAACCGGUUUUACCGAUACCGAUUUUCUAUCUAAGAAAUCAUUAUAAUCAUACAAUAAACAAGCAUGGGUGCUUCUUUUCCAAGUGGCGUCUUAAGUUGGUUGUUCCAUAAGUCUUAGGCUGAAAGCUUAUUCGUGUAAAAC